UCACUUGCUCCAUCUUUAUAAGGAAAGAGUCGAUAAAGUCUCUGGAAGACGUUGGAUCCAGGGUCUCUUCAUGCAUUUUGAUUCUUUCAGCAAUAAAUUCCUGAAUCUCAUCAACUGCUUUGAAGAACUUGUUGUGGGGCCCCGGUAACUUCUCCAUUAAUUUUGGAUACACAUUGUACAUCUGUAAUGAAUAACAUCUUAAAAAAUGCGUGGUAUAUUCUGGAGUAACAGAGUUAGACAAAAUAUGAAGGCCAUUUGACUUAGCUAACAUAUUCUGCAGAGCUUAAUAAAAUGGGGAUAAUUGUAGGUUCUCAAAUGAGCUUACAAUCUACUCUGUGCCACAAUAUUAAAACCACUGACAUUGUUAAAAUGGCACAUGUCAAGAGGUGUGAUAUAUUAGGCAUCAAGUGAAAAGUCAGGUCUUGAAUUUCAUUUGUUGGAAGCAGGACAAAUGGGCAAAUGAAAAGAUCUGAGAGACUUUGACAAGGGCGAAAUAGUGAUGGCUAGAGACUGGGUCAGAGAAUCUCCAAAUCAGCAAGUCUUGUGGGAUUUUCCAGGUAUGCAGGGGUUAGUACCUACCAAAUACUGUGCAACUGGUGUAUCUUCAUUAGUGUCAUAUAUGCCCAAAGCUCAUUGAUGCACAUAGGGAGCAAAGACCAGCCCAACUGGUCCGAUCACACAGAAAGGUUACUGUAGCUCUAAUUGCUGAAAAAAGAAAUGCUGGCCAUGAUCGAAAGGUGUCAGAACACACAGUGCAUCACAGUUUGCUGCGUAUGGUGCUGUGUAGCUGCAGAAUUCCCAUGGUGACCCAUGUCCACCACUGUAAGCACCUUAAAUGGGGACAUGAGUGUCAGAACUGGACUAUGGAGCAAUGGAAGAAGGUUGCCUGUUCUGAUGAGCCACAUUUUCAUUUAGAUCAGUUGGAUGGCGUGUGCGUUGCUUACUUGGGUAAAAGAAGCAGGAUGCAAUAUAGGAAGAAGACAGGCGGAGGUAGCAUUAUGCUUUGUGUAAUGUAGUGCUGGUAAAGCAUAUGUCCUGUCAUUACUUUGACACAUACCACCAACCUAGAGAUGUUGUUGCAGCCACGUAUACCCAUUUAUGGCAAUACUACUCCCUGAUGGCAGGGACCUCUUUCAGCAGGCUAAUGCAAUCUCCAACACUGCAAAAUUGUUCAGGAAUGGUUUGAGGAACAUGACAAAGUGUUCAAGGUGUUGCCUUGGCCUCCAAAUUCAGCAUCUGUGGGAUGUGCUGGAACAACUAAUGCGAUCCAUGGAGGCCCCAUCUCGCAACUUGCAGGACUUAAAUGAUCUGCUGCUAAUGUCUUAAAGGACCACUAUAGUGCCAGGAAAACAUACUCGUUUUCCUGGCACUAUAGUGCCCUGAGGGUGCCCCCACCCUCAGGGACCCCC